UGUGUUUUUCUGUGUCUGUUUCUUUGUGGACUUGGACUGAUGAGAAUUUGGACAGAGGACAGUUGAAAUUGAAACUAGUUCUCGGCUCGGGAGCUCGGGAGCACACGGCUGCAUGACAGGACACCAAGCAAUGUGCUCUCCCUCCCAUAGGAGCCGAGGAGAAAAUGCUUUCAGGUGGCUGGGGAGACGUGGAGCUGGAGCUUGGGCGGGCGGUGCUCGGACACUUGGGAGUCUGUGAAAUAACAAUAUACAACCAGCAGGGCACGGGCUCUGCAGCCCCGAGACGAAGGGGUGGAAGAUCGCCCCCCCCCGCUCGGAGGGGAGGUGGGGCGGCGCGGCUGGACUCCCCGGGAGCUGCCUGCAGUGUUCAAGAGAGGCCCGGCCAGAAAGCAGGUUCAUGACCUGCGGGGGAGUCUAAAUUUGUCUCAGCAGAUUUUCACCUGUUCAACUCUGUUCUGGGAUCAGCUAUAGACUACAAGCUGAGAUCUGGACUUCCUGAAAACUGACCUGAUUGCUCCCUGCCUCUUCCGGUGGAUCAACUGACCAGAUGCUUGGGACUGCCCUAUUGCCCAGCUUUUGACUGGCAUUUCAGCCUCCCCAGUCCCUGAUGCCUACGUCCAACGGUCAGCAUGAAGAAGCUACAGAAGACGGAUCUCCGCCCAAAUCCCCCCUAACAGGCUGAAAUGCUAAGUCAAAAGUGGCUCCCUGACAUUGGCUAUUAUCUUGAGCAUCUGCUUAGCUGCUGACCAUACUAAAUUGAUAAGAGAUAACAUGGCUAAACUCAGAAAAAGACUCAGACAGAGACAACAAUUCUUUGAGUCAGGACAGAGCUGGUACGAGAGAUGGUUUAGUCGGUCCCCCUAGAUUACCACCCUGAUCUCCUCCAUUAUGGGUCCCCUAAUCAUAAUUCUCCUGAUUCUACUAGUUGGGCCUUAUAUUCUAAAUUGGCUGAUCCAGUUCAUAAAAGAUCGGUUACAAGCGUUGGUGUUGACCCAACAAUAUCAUCAGCUCAAACAACAGGAGACAAAAGUUAACUCUUCCUAGGCCCGAGAAUGGAAGAUUCCAUUCUAAGUUAAAAGAAAAUGGGGGAAUGAAAGACCCCAGCCUCACACUAAGUUAAACAUAGCUAAUGCCAUUUUGUGAGACACCACUGUUUUGUAAAACUCUGAAGGCCAGAUGAGAAACUGGAAAAUUACUGAAAAAUCCUAGCUGUGUCACCCACUUGGGAUAUCUGUGGUCAGGCUGCCCCAGUCAUAAUAAAAACAGUUUGUGUUAAUCACUCUCAUAGAUAUCUGUGAGACUGUUUCAGCUAAGAUAGGGAAAAACAAAAUAACAGGUGGCAGGCCACGUCAAGGGGUCAUCCUACCCCCCUUGACCACCCAGUUCCUGAAAUCUUGGUGCCCCUGCCAAACUUUGACGCAAAUUGUGGUCUCGUGUAAACGUACCAAUCAGCCCCCUGUAACCAUGCCCUCUCGUUUCUGUACCAGUGCUUCUGCCUCUAAAACCCUAUAAAAACCCCAGCUUCCCAUCUAGGGGGCGCGGAAGUCUUCCGAAUGACUUUUCGCCCCGGGUACCUGAGUAUCAAAAUAAAAGCCUCUUGCUGUUUGCA